rnacentral:lncRNA from 1 species
GAUUGUAAAAUGCACCACUCAGUAGUCUGUAGCUAGGAUUGUAAGAUGCUCCAAUCAGUGCUCUGUAAAAAUGCAUCAGUCAACAGUCUGUAGCUAGCUAGAAGUUUGUAAAAUGCACCAAUCAGUGUGCUGUAAAAAGGCACUAAUCAACACUCUGUAGCUGGGUAGAAGUUUGUAAAAUAGACCAAUCAGCACGCUGCAAAAUGGACCAAUCAGCACUCUGUAAAAUGGGCCAAUCAGCAGGACACAGGCAGGAACAAGUAAAGGAAUAAAAGCCGCCCAACACGCCCCGCGUCGGCUGCGGAAACGUGUUUGGGUGUCUUUCCGAGGUUAGUUCUUUGGCUCUUCAAAGUAAAUCUUGCUGCUGCUCGCUCUUUGGGUCCCUGCCACCUUUGAGAGCUGUAACACUCACCAGGAAGGUCCGCGGCUUCAUUCUGGGAGUCAGUGAGACCGCGAAUCCCCCAGAAGGAACAAACUCCUGGACACACUCGCUCCUGCAUUGGUGAUAAAGCCCAAUCAGAUUAGCAACCUCUCCGCUUGGGGCAGAGCUAGGAGGGGUGUGUCCCUGUUAUAGACAAGAUUAGGAGCAGUCAAGGGAGAGCCACUGUGCUAAGGAGGGUGUGGUUGUGUUGGCUGGCUGUGGCUGAGCUGGGGAACAGGAGUGUGGGGUGCUGGGAGUUGGGUGGAGUGCUGAGUUCAUGUCGAGAAGUGGCGAAAGUAGGAAAGGAGUGGCAGGCCAGUUGUUGAAGGUCUUGAAUAUUGGGAAACGGAUUUUAACUGUGUUGUAUCUUGUAGGUUACUGGGAAACCGUUGUUGGAUCUUGAGCAGAACAGUGACAAGCCAGUGGACACCAGGACUGCCUCCAAGUUUCUGCCACGACGACCAUUCUCAUACAGCUUCCCUCGUGGACUCACACACCUGCAGUGGAAUUGGUGCAAAGCUGCUUGCCACAGCCUUCUCUCAUGUGCGAAGGCAUAGCUCUCCUACUUCUGAGCACUUUCCAUUGACUUCCAGAAACAUGCUUGAUCCAUCACUGGAGAAUAUGACUUGCUUUUUCAAGGGGAAUUGA